rnacentral:rRNA from 1 species
AUUGAACGCUGGCGGCAGGCCUAACACAUGCGAGUCGAGCGGACGAAGGGAGCUUGCUCCUGGAUUCAGCGGCGGACGGGCGAGUAAUGCAUAGGAAUCUGCCUGGCAGUGGGGGAUAACGUCCGGAAACGGGCGCUAAUACCGCAUACGUCCUGAGGGUGAAAGUGGGGGAUCUUCGGACCUCACGCGAUCUGAUGAGCCUAGGUCGGAUUAGCUAGUUGGUGGGGUAAAGGCCUACCAAGGCGACGAUCCGUAACUGGUCUGAGAGGAUGAUCAGUCACACUGGAACUGAGACACGGUCCAGACUCCUACGGGAGGCAGCAGUGGGGAAUAUUGGACAAUGGGCGAAAGCCUGAUCCAGCCAUGCCGCGUGUGUGAAGAAGGUCUUCGGAUUGUAAAGCACUUUAAGUUGGGAAGAAGGGCAGUAAGUUAAUACCUUGCUGUUUUGACGUUACCAACAGAAUAAGCACCGGCUAACUUCGUG